rnacentral:misc_RNA from 1 species
GGCACAAGGUUCUAGAAAGGCAUAUCUUAUUUAUUUCCACCUUUAGUGAGCACUUUCAUUGUCAAAAAGCACUACCUCUUAAACUUGAUAUUUAUCAAUAUAUAAGAAUCAUAUAUAAUGAUACACUAGGAAGUUUUUAGAAUUAGUAUCGCUGGUGAUAACUAGUCAUCAAAAUCUCAUCAAAUCAGCAUACUCAAAAUCGUAAACUUCUCAUAUUUUCAUUUUCAACACUCAUAUCUUGUUUUCAAUAUUCUCAUAUUAUCUUUCUCAUUUUAAAUGCUUUUUGGACUCCUUUGUUUCUAGUUUA